ensembl:lncRNA
GGGAAUGCAGUCAUGUGAUCAUGGCGGACCAAUCAGAGAGCGGGGAUUGAAACCACGCCCCUCCGCGGCGUUGCUAUGGAGACAAGGGGCACGAAUAGGUCACGUGAUCAAUGUUGACCAAUCAGAGAGUGCGGAAGUGGAAGCCACGCCCCCAGGGAUCGUUGCUAUGGAGAUGUGGGCGGAAGAGGAAGUGUCACGUGGGAAUAACGAGCCAAUCAGAGAGCGGGGAUUGAAACCACGCCCCCUCCGCGGCGUUGUUAUGGAGAUAGGGGGGUAAUGGCAGGGUCACGUGAUAGUAAUGGACCAAUCAGAGGGAUAUAGGGUGUCUAUGGGGUUCUAUGGGGCUCUAUGGGGUCUAUGGGGCUCUAUAGGGGGAUAUGGGGGGAUAUGGGGUGUCUAUGGGGGGAUAUGGGGCCCUAUGUCGUGUCUAUGGGGCUCUAUGGGGUGUCUAUGGGGGGAUAUGGGGCUCUAUGGGGUGUCUAUGGGGGGAUAUGGGGUGUCUAUGGGGCUCUAUGUGUCUAUGGGGCUCUAUGGGGUGUCUAUGGGGCACUAUGGGGCUCUAUGGGGUUAUAUGGGCUCUAUGGGUCCUAUGUAGGAUAUGGGGAGACGGACCAAUCAGAGAGCGAGGAUGGGACAACGCCUCCUGAGCUGCGUUGCCAUGGAGAUAGAAGAGACGGAGAGGUCACGUGGGAAGAGACAGCCAAUCAGAGAGCGAGGGAUGAAACCACGCCCCUAUUCCGCGUUGUUAUGGAGAUAUGGAGAUAAAAAGUGUCACGUGGUUUCCAGGCGACCAAUCAGAAAGAGAAGAGGGGGAAAGCCACGCCCCCUUCUCCGCGUUGCCAUGGAGAUAAUAGGGAGAUGGGUCAUGUGAUUAGAAGGAGCCAAUCAGAGUGCGAGGGUGGAAGCCACGCCCCUCCGCCACGUUGCCAUGGAGAUAGGGGCGGGAAAGGGUUUGUCACGUGAUAAGGUGCAGCCAAUCAGAGAGCUGGGAGAGAAGCCACGCCCCCUGCCCGGCGUUGCCAUGGAAAUAGAAGGGACGUGUGUCAUGUGAUUAGAGUGAGCCAAUCAGAGAGCGGGGUUAUAACCACGCCCCCUUCUCUGCGUUGUUAUGGAGAUAAGGGCGGGAAAGGGUUUGUCACGUGAUAAGCUGCAACCAAUCAGAGACCGCGAUGUGUAGUCACGCCCCUUCGCCGCGUUGCUAUGGAGACGGAGGUGAUAAAGGAUCACGUGAUAGAUUUGGACCAAUCAGAGCGCGAGGAAUGAAACCACGCCCCCUCAGCAUUAAAAAGGCGGAAGUGGAGGCGGACGGGCUUAUCACGUGACAUCUAACGGACCAAUCAGAGCGCGGCUUUGUAUCGCGUCUUUAUCUAGAGCCAAUGGAGAGGGAGGGAGGCGGUGUCACGUGAUGGGCGGCGUCACGUGGUGCGGAGGCAGCCAAUCAGGAGCGAGGCGGCGGCCAUGGCGGACGGGGAGCGAUCCCCGCUGUUGGCGGAUGGAAACGGGGGGAGGAACGGUGGGGGAGGGGAAUAAUGGGGGUCUAUGGGGUUAUAUGGGGGGAUAUGGAGUUAUAUGGGGGCUAUGGGGCUCUAUGGGGUGUCCCCACUCCGUCGCCUCCACCAUAACCCCACAUUAACCCACUAUAACCACCAAUAUCCCU